AUGGCCGACGCGGGUCGAAGUGUAGUAUCUGUUCUUAUCAGCUUGUCAAAUACAACCUGAUACAGGUUGCAUGUAGACCCAAGAUAUAAAACUUAUUUUUGCAAGUUGGCGGAGUGCUUGAAGCCUGCUUCCCCUCCACCGCGGGUCGGCCAGGUAUUGCGCUAUCUUCGGGAUCAGCCCUCGUUCU